rnacentral:misc_RNA from 1 species
UACGGAGGGUGCAAGCGUUGUUCGGAAUCAUUGGGCGUAAAGCGCGUGUAGGCGGCUUGGCAAGUCGGAUGUGAAAUCCCGGGGCCCAACCCCGGAACUGCAUUCGAAACUGCCUCGCUAGAGUCUCGGAGAGGAGAGCGGAAUUCCCGGUGUAGAGGUGAAAUUCGUAGAUAUCGGGAGGAACACCAGCGGCGAAGGCGGCUCUCUGGACGAUGACUGACGCUGAGACGCGAAAGCGUGGGGAGCAAACAGG